GGCCUUGUGGCCCAAUGGAUUAUAGCGCCUGACUACGGAUCAGGAGAUUCCAGGUUCGAGUCCUGGCAGGGUCG
rfam:Nematostella vectensis strain CH2 x CH6 NEMVEscaffold_244_Cont20531, whole genome shotgun sequence.